rnacentral:lncRNA from 1 species
GAUGUCAUGUUUAUACAAUAUUAGAAAUGAUCCACUUAAAAAGGGGAAAUGAUUUUGAGUGCGGCUUACUCAGAACUUACUUCCUGCCUGGCUUGAAUUCUGUGAGCAUAAGUCCUGAGCAAUUUUCCAUUUGUUUGCAAGAUGCCCCAGGGCCCCACCAGCUCAGAGCUAAUUUUUGUGCUAAUUCUUCAGGUUGAGAUUUCCCACACUAAGCAGAUAAAAUAAAUUUGGACUUUAGAAUCAGAUUAGGUACAAUCUUAGAUCUGAAUAUCUUGUUUUUUGUUUUUGUUUUUGUUUUUUCCUUAAGGCCCUACAAAGACAAACUUUGUUGUUCUUUUCCCCAGACUAUGGACAAAACUUUUCACUAAGUCCCUUUUCACGAAGGUUGCACCCCUGGGAGGGUUCUAACUUCCUACCUCAUACAUUCUUUCCUGCAAGCUCAACCAUAACACAUUUAACAAAUUUGGGUUAUAUUUUAGUCAGCGUCUUCAGGGAUUUGUGCCAGAGAAACAUCUGCACUUUCUCCACCACCAUUUGUUGGAACUAGAAUCUUUCCCCUCGCUUUUCAGCUAGCUGAUUCCUGGUCACCUUUUUUUUUUCUUUUUUUUUUUAAUUUUUUUAGUUGUAGAUGGACACAUUAUCUUUAUUUUAUUUUAUGUGGUGCUGAGGAUCGAACCCAGGGCCUCACACAUGCUAGGUAAGCACUCUACUGCUGAGCCACAACCCCAGCCCCUCUGGUCACCUUUGAGAUCCCAGCUUAAAUGUCACUUCUCAGGGAGGUAUUUCCUAACCUUUUCCAUCCAGUCUAAACUAGUGUAACCUUUAUAUAACUUAUAGCACCC